rnacentral:rRNA from 1 species
GAACGCACCGCAAGGUGAGUGGCAGACGGGUGAGUAACACGUGGGAACAUGCCCUUUGGUUCGGAAUAACUCAGGGAAACUUGAGCUAAUACCGGAUACGUCCGCGAGGAGAAAGAUUCAUCGCCGAAGGAUUGGCCCGCGUCUGAUUAGCUAGUUGGUGAGGUAACGGCUCACCAAGGCGACGAUCAGUAGCUGGUCUGAGAGGAUGAUCAGCCACAUUGGGACUGAGACACGGCCCAAACUCCUACCGGAGGCAGCAGUGGGGAAUAUUGGACAAUGGGCGCAAGCCUGAUCCAGCCAUGCCGCGUGAGUGAUGAAGGCCCUAGGGUUGUACAGCUCUUUGACCUGGGAAGAUAAUGACGGUACCAGGAGAAUAAGCCCCGGGUAACUUCCUG